rnacentral:rRNA from 1 species
UACGUAGGGUGCGAGCGUUAAUCGGAAUUAUUGGGCGUAAAGAGCUUGUAGGCGGUUGGUCACGUCGAAAGUGAAAACUCAGGGCUUAACUCUGAGCCUGCUUUCGAUACGGGUCGACUAGAGGAAGUUAGAGGAGAACGGAAUUCCUGGUGGAGCGGUGGAAUGCGCAGAUAUCAGGAGGAACACCGGUGGCGAAGGCGGUUCUCUGGGACUUUCCUGACGCUGAGAAGCGAAAGCGUGGGGAGCAAACAGG